rnacentral:rRNA from 1 species
UACGAAGGGGGCUAGCGUUGCUCGGAAUCACUGGGCGUAAAGGGUGCGUAGGCGGGUCUUUUAAGUCAGGGGUGAAAUCCUGGAGCUCAACUCCAGAACUGCCUUCGAUACUGGGAGUCCCGAGUUCGGGAGAGGUGAGUGGAACUGCGAGUGUAGAGGUGAAAUUCGUAGAUAUUCGCAAGAACACCAGUGGCGAAGGCGGCUCACUGGCCCGAUACUGACGCUGAGGUGCGAAAGCGUGGGGAGCAAACAGG